rnacentral:rRNA from 1 species
AUUGAACGCUGGCGGCAGGCCUAACACAUGCAAGUCGGACGGUAGCACAGAGGAGCUUGCUCCUCGGGUGACGAGUGGCGGACGGGUGAGUAAUGUCUGGGGAUCUGCCCGAUAGAGGGGGAUAAUCACUGGAAACGGUGGCUAAUACCGCAUAACGUCGCAAGACCAAAGAGGGGGACCUUCGGGCCUCUCACUAUCGGAUGAACCCAGAUGGGAUUAGCUAGUAGGCGGGGUAACGGCCCACCUAGGCGACGAUCCCUAGCUGGUCUGAGAGGAUGACCAGCCCAACUGGAACUGAGACACGGUCCAGACUCCUACGGGAGGCAGCAGUGGGGAAUAUUGCACAAUGGGCGCAAGCCUGAUGCAGCCAUGCCGCGUGUAUGAAGAAGGCCUUCGGGUUGUAAAGUACUUUCAGCGGGGAGGAAGGCGAUGUGGUUAAUAACCGCAUUGAUUGACGUUACCCGCAGAAGAAGCACCGGCUAACUCCGUGCCAGCAGCCGCCGUAA